UACAGAGGUGUCAAGCGUUGUUCGGAUUCAUUGGGCGUAAAGGGUGCGUAGGCGGCGCGGUAAGUCGGGUGUGAAAUCUCGGAGCUUAACUCCGAAACUGCAUUCGAUACUGCCGUGCUUGAGGACUGGAGAGGAGACUGGAAUUUACGGUGUAGCGGUGAAAUGCGUAGAUAUCGUAAGGAAGACCAGUGGCGAAGGCGGGUCUCUGGACAGUUCCUGACGCUGAGGCACGAAGGCCAGGGGAGCAAACGGG
rnacentral:rRNA from 1 species